rnacentral:rRNA from 1 species
AUUGAACGCUGGCGGCGUGCUUAACACAUGCAAGUCGAUCGGUAACGCGGGGGCAACCCUGGCGACGAGAGGCGGACGGGUGAGGAACGCUUGGGAAUCUGCCUAUCAGCGGGGGACAACACGGGGAAACUCGUGCUAAUACCGCAUACGCUCUACGGAGGAAAGCCGGGGACCGCAAGGCCUGGCACUGAUAGAUGAGCCCAAGCCGGAUUAGCUAGUUGGCGGGGUAACGGCCCACCAAGGCGACGAUCCGUAGCUGGUCUGAGAGGACGAUCCGCCACACUGGAACUGAGACACGGUCCAGACUCCUACGGGAGGCAGCAGUGGGGAAUUUUGGACAAUGGGGGCAACCCUGAUCCAGCCAUGCCGCGUGAGUGAAGAAGGCCUUCGGGUUGUAAAGCUCUUUCGGCCGGGAAGAAAUCGUAUCAGCUAAUACCUGGUGCGGAUGACGGUACCGGCAUAAGAAGCACCGGCUAACUACGUGCCAGCAGCCGCGGUAAGAC